CUUAUGCCGGCGACCGGCGGACGGGUGCGUAACGCGUAUGUAACCUACCUUUGACAGGGGGAUAACAUCGAGAAAUUGGUACUAAUACCCCAUAACAUCACCGGAGGCAUCUUCGGUGGUUGAAAACUCAGGUGGUCAGAGAUGGACGUGCGUUGUAUUAGCUAGUUGGUGAGGUAACGGCUCACCAAGGCGACGAUACAUAGGGGGACUGAGAGGUCAACCCCCCACAUUGGUACUGAGACACGGACCAAACUCCUACGGGAGGCAGCAG
rnacentral:rRNA from 1 species